GAUGAAGAACGCAGCGAAAUGCGAUAAGUAAUGUGAAUUGCAGAAUUCCGUGAAUCAUCGAAUCUUUGAACGCACAUUGCGCCCCCUGGUAUUCCGGGGGGCAUGCCUGUCCGAGCGUCAUUGCAACCUUCAAGCGCGGCUUGUGUGUUGGGUCUCGUCCCCCGUGGACGGGCCCGAAAGGCAGUGGCGGCGUCCCGACAUGGUGCCCGAGCGUAUGGGAAUCCUCUUCCGCUCGAAUCGGCCCAUGCGGCGCUGGUCGUAACCAAAUUUUUUACCGGUUGACCUCGGAUCAGGUAGGGAUACCCGCUGAACUUAAGCAUAUGAAUAAGCGGAGGA
rnacentral:misc_RNA from 1 species